rnacentral:rRNA from 1 species
AGUGAACGCUGGCGGUAGGCCUAACACAUGCAAGUCGAACGGCAGCACAGUAAGAGCUUGCUCUUACGGGUGGCGAGUGGCGGACGGGUGAGGAAUACAUCGGAAUCUACUUUUUCGUGGGGGAUAACGUAGGGAAACUUACGCUAAUACCGCAUACGACCUACGGGUGAAAGCAGGGGAUCUUCGGACCUUGCGCGAUUGAAUGAGCCGAUGUCGGAUUAGCUAGUUGGCGGGGUAAAGGCCCACCAAGGCGACGAUCCGUAGCUGGUCUGAGAGGAUGAUCAGCCACACUGGAACUGAGACACGGUCCAGACUCCUACGGGAGGCAGCAGUGGGGAAUAUUGGACAAUGGGCACAAGCCUGAUCCAGCCAUACCGCGUGGGCGAAGAAGGCCUUCGGGUUGUAAAGCCCUUUUGUUGGGAAAGAAAAGCAGCAGGUUAAUACCCCGCUGUUCUGACGGUACCCAAAGAAUAAGCACCGGCUAACUUCGUG